rnacentral:rRNA from 1 species
AUUGAACGCUGGCGGCAGGCCUAACACAUGCAAGUCGAGCGAGCGGCGGACGGGCGAGCAAUGUAUGGGGACCUGCCUGAUAGAGGGGGAUAACUGCUGGAAACGGUGGCUAAUACCGCAUACUAUCGGAUGAACCCAUAUGGGAUUAGGUAGGAGGUGGGGUAAAGGCUCACCAAGGCGACGAUCUCUAGCUGCUCUGAGAGGAUGACCAGCCACACUGGGACUGAGACACGGUCCAGACUCCUACGGGAGGCAGCAGUGGGGAAUCUUGCGCAAUGGACGCAAGCCUGAUCGAGCAAUGCCGCGUGAGUGAAGAAGGCCUUCGGAUCGUAAAGCACUUUCGGCAAGGAGGCGUUACUCAAAGAGAAAGCACCGGCUAACUCCGUGCCAGCAGCCGCGGUAAUUC